UCUCUGAGAAAUGGGGUGGCCACAAAAUCCCGAUGAGUUCCCAACUGAAAGACCCCCAGUUUCUGGGAAGACUCUCCCUCAAGUCCCAGGAUGAGCUGACGCCCCAAUAACUUGAGAGAAACC
rnacentral:pre_miRNA from 7 species